GCUACUACCGAUUGAAUGGUUUAGUGAGGACUCCUGAUUGGCGCCGCCGCCCCGGCAACGGAGCAGCGGACUGCCGAAAAGUUGUUCAAACUUGAUCAUUUAGAGGAAGUAAAAAUCGUAACAAGGUUUCUGUAGGUGAACCUGCAGAAGGAUCAAGAUCGGAAGAGCGUCGUGUGGGGUACGAGUGAAGAUCACGGCGGAUGCUGUACAAGUACAAAAAAUACAGAGCUUAAUAGGCAGUAGCGACUGGUAUCCAAUGAUGGCUCUGUUGCAUACU
rnacentral:misc_RNA from 1 species